rnacentral:rRNA from 1 species
UACGUAGGUGGCAAGCGUUGUCCGGAUUUACUGGGCGUAAAGAGCGCGCAGGCGGUCGGAUAAGUCGAAUGUGAAAGCCCCCGGCUCAACUGGGGAGGGUCAUUCGAUACUGUUCGACUCGAAGGCAGGAGAGGGAAGUGGAAUUCCCGGUGUAGUGGUGAAAUGCGCAGAUAUCGGGAGGAACACCAAUGGCGAAGGCAGCUCGCUGGGACGUGACUGACGCUGAGACGCGAAAGCGUGGGGAGCAAACAGG